UACGUAGGUGGCAAGCGUUAUCCGGAAUUAUUGGGCGUAAAGGGAGCGUAGGCGGCUUGAUAAGUCUGAGGUGAAAGUUCGGGGCUCAACUCCGGAUUGCCUUAGAAACUGUCAGGCUAGAGUGCAGGAGAGGGCAAUGGAAUUCCAUGUGUAGCGGUAAAAUGCGUAGAUAUAUGGAGGAACACCAGUGGCGAAGGCGGUUGCCUGGCCUGUAACUGACGCUGAGGCUCGAAAGCGUGGGGAGCAAAUAGG
rnacentral:rRNA from 1 species